rnacentral:rRNA from 1 species
GACGAACGCUGGCGGCGUGCCUAACACAUGCAAGUCGAACGGAAAGGCCCUGCUUUUGUGGGGUGCUCGAGUGGCGAACGGGUGAGUAACACGUGAGUAACCUGCCCUUGACUUUGGGAUAUCCUCAGGAAACUGGGGCUCAUACCGGAUAGGAGCUCCUGCUGCAUGGUGGGGGUUGGAAAGUUUCGGCGGUUGGGGAUGUACUCGCGGCUUAUCCGCUUGUUGGUGGGGUAGUGGCUUACCAAGGCUUUGACGGGUAGCCGGCCUGAGAGGGGGACCGGCGACAUUGGGACUGAGAUACGGCCCAGACUCGUACGGGAGGCAGCAGUGGGGAGUAUUACACAAUGGGGGGAAGCCUGAUGCAGCAACGCCGCGAGCGGGAUGACGGCCUUCGGGUUGUAAACCGCUUUCGCCUGAGACGAAGCGUGAGUGACGGUAAUGGGUAAAGAAGCACCGGCUAACUACGUG